rnacentral:rRNA from 1 species
UACGUAGGGUGCAAGCGUUGUUCGGAUUCAUUGGGCGUAAAGGGCGCGUAGGCGGCGGGGUAAGUCGGGUGUGAAAUCUCAGAGCUCAACUCUGAAACUGCACUCGAUACUGCUCUGCUUGAGGACUGGAGAGGAGACUGGAAUUCACGGUGUAGCAGUGAAAUGCGUAGAUAUCGUGAGGAAGACCAGUGGCGAAGGCGGGUCUCUGGACAGUUCCUGACGCUGAGGCGCGAAGGCCAGGGGAGCAAACGGG